GACAGAGGAGCCAAGCGUUGUCCGGAUUGACUGGGCGUAAAGCGCACGCAGGCGGCCGUGCACGUGGGGUGUGAAAGCGCUCGGCUUAACUGAGCGAUGCCACCUCAUACGGCAGGGCUCGAGCCCGUGAGAGGUCCACGGAAUUGCCGGUGUAGUGGUGAAAUGCGUAGAGAUCGGCAGGAACACCCAGGGGGAAACCAGUGGACUGGCACGGUGCUGACGCUCAGGUGCGAAAGCGUGGGGAGCGAUCCGG
rnacentral:rRNA from 1 species